GUGCUGGAUUCGGCAGCACAUAUACUAAAAUUUGAACAACAUAGAGGAGAUUAGCACAGCCCCUGCGCUAGAAAGAGAGGCCAAUUGGUGAAGCGUUCCAUACAUAA
ensembl:snRNA U6 U6 spliceosomal RNA